rnacentral:rRNA from 1 species
AUUGAACGCUGGCGGCAGGCCUAACACAUGCAAGUCGAGCGGAUGAAGGGAGCUUGCUCCUGGAUUCAGCGGCGGACGGGUGAGUAAUGCCUAGGAAUCUGCCUGGUAGUGGGGGAUAACGUCCCGAAACGGGCGCUAAUACCGCAUACGUCCUGAGGGAGAAAGUGGGGGAUCUUCGGACCUCACGCUAUCAGAUGAGCCUAGGUCGGAUUAGCUAGUUGGUGGGGUAAAGGCCUACCAAGGCGACGAUCCGUAACUGGUCUGAGAGGAUGAUCAGUCACACUGGAACUGAGACACGGUCCAGACUCCUACGGGAGGCAGCAGUGGGGAAUAUUGGACAAUGGGCGAAAGCCUGAUCCAGCCAUGCCGCGUGUGUGAAGAAGGUCUUCGGAUUGUAAAGCACUUUAAGUUGGGAGGAAGGGCAGUAAGUUAAUACCUUGCUGUUUUGACGUUACCAACAGAAUAAGCACCGGCUAACUUCGU